GCGGGGGAGGGCGACGGCGCGCCCGAGGCCUCCCCCGGCAACCAAACCCCGGCGCCCCAGGCGCCAAGGAAACGAAUCAGGGCGGGGGCGAGCCCGCGGGCCGGGCUCCCCGCGCCGUUUGUGCACCGUACGGAACGACUCUCGGCAACGGAUAUCUCGGCUCUCGCAUCGAUGAAGAACGUAGCGAAAUGCGAUACUUGGUGUGAAUUGCAGAAUCCCGUGAACCAUCGAGUCUUUGAACGCAAGUUGCGCCCGAAGCCUUUCUGGCCGAGGGCACGUCUGCCUGGGCGUCACGCAGCGUCGCCCCGCCCCCCUCCGCGGGCGCGGGGCGGAUGUUGGCCUCCCGGGGGCUCGCCCCCCGGCCGGCCGAAAAAGGGGCCCGACGUGACGGACGCCACGAUCCACGGUGGUUGAGCGGGCGCCCCGCUCGAGGCCAAGACGUGAGCGGGCCGUCCCACGGCGAGGGCCCGUCCCCCACCCGAACGCGACCCCAGGUCAGGCGGGG
rnacentral:rRNA from 1 species